UGCUGCUCAGGCAGUGGCGGGGCUGGGACCGGGCAUCCGUUGCUAGUGACGCCAGCUGGGGCAACAGAGCGGACGCGGGGUCCCCGUAAGCUUUGGUCCCUCUUGGUGGCUGCAGGAGCUCCUGUCCAAGGCUGGUGACUGAAGGGCAGCAUGAAGGUGCUGAGCUCAAGCACCCAGCUUAGCUAAGACAGUCUGAUGUUUUCGGUAACCUCUGUACACCUGGAGAAGUGGGCCCACCUGCUCCUGUGGCUUGGAUGGUCAAAUGGUUUUUCCAGGUGAGUGUGCUCGCUGCUAGAUAGAUCUAUCUUUGUGCAAAGGUUUUGUAUUUGCAUUGCUGAUGGAGCAACUGAUUUCCAAGUGGGGGAAUCAAGCAGCUUCCUUCAUCUUCCUGUGCUUUGUGAGUGUGUGUGUGUGUGUGUGUGUGUGUGUGUGUUAAAUGACCUUUGGAAUGAAAAUAUUAACAGAAAAGGAAAACAUGAUUGUAAUUUAUUAAAUGUUAGCCCAGAUGCCUCUAGGGGGGAGUAGACCUUUCAGUCUUUCAAGCUGAUACAUUGCUGUGGUGCCUGCGUCGACACAGGUGCAUUUAAAGAGUCAAUUAAGGGAAAACUGUGUAUUUACACAGGCUGGAUUAAUCUCAUGUUUUGGCAACUUUCUUUUUAAAUGGUUGAGACUACUAGUAUCGCUUAAAGAUGUUGCUUGUCCAGAAAGAACUGGAGGAGGUACUGGAGGAAAGAAGUGAAGAUCUAGGGUAAUAAAGCGUGGAGGUGGGCCCGCUCCUCUGGGACUGGGCUGGAGCAGGCUUCAGGCUAACCAGCCAGUGUACAUGCUGGAGCAACCCUUGAUGGUGGGCUUUGCAUGAAACAGGUGUUGGCAAAUGGCUGCAAAUAAUUAUUAAAUUUCCAGGGAUGCUCUCUGAAAAGGAACAAAGAAAGAAGAAGUCGUGUGUCUGCCUGCCUCUGCCGAGUGGGAACAGGAAUUAUGAGAUGUCUCUUUGGAUUUAUGCUGCUGCAGGGUUCAUCAAAGGCCCUUCCCUGCCUGGAUGUCCUUGCUGGAAAGACUCGAGCCUGGAGCAUCCCCAGCCGGGAGGAAUGGAGCACCACGAGGGGCGGAUUUGGUUCUGGUGUUGGUCUCAUGGCAAGGAGGGACCAAAAGCAAGCCUAUGGUGUAGCAUCUUGUCAUUCGGCUGUGAGAAAGGUACUGGGAACCCCGGUGUUCACCCAGGCUCCGCAGUCACUCCUCUGCUGGGUACGUGCUGCUGUGCUUCCGGACAGCCUGCCUGGCACCCUGCUGGGCUUUCCCUCCCUUCCUUACAGAAACCUCGUCAUCAGCAGUCACUUCUUCCUCCCGUGUCUGCUCACAAUCAGAGAAGAAGCUGCAGUCAUUGUUUUGCCUGCCCUGCAACUUUAUAGAUUAACCUGAUGUUUCUGGCUGCCGUAAUCUGAUGAGGAGUGCAAGGUACUGGCAUCUAGAAGUCACAGUGAUGGGUGCUUUACGGAUGGCUAGGUAUCUAAAAAUAGAGGCAGAAGACAGUGCUGCUCGUAUGUUUUAAGCAGAAGAACAAGCAAUGAAAGCUUUUCCAGAAAUGCUUGAGGGAGCAGCAGACUUUCCAUUUAAGGCUGUAUUAUUUCAUUGGAUAAUCUGAUUAAACAUGGAGGUUAUGUGAGGACUUCAUUCAACCCUCCGUGGAAACUGCUGUGUAUAUGUGAAAGUGGCAUCACAAUCGACUGUAUGCGAGGGAGAGUUACGAUAAACGCUUUUCUUGAGGCUAUUGCUCUGGAGAAAUCGGUGGCAGAUGCGUCGUGCCACUGUUUGGAUAAAAGCGCUCUUCUCUCCCAGAUGAAUUGCUUUAUGAACUGCUCUGAUUUGUCCCUUUCCAAAAUAAUUGAUUAAAUCUGAGUCAUCGGUACCGGGUAUUUUAUUUUGAAUGCGCCCUCUUUUAUUUAUCCUGUUAUUUACGUGCUGGGCGUACAUAUACGUACGCCAAAUGUGCGUGCUCUUGCAGUGACGCUGCUGCUGCAUGAAUGGACCUAAUUGAAAGGCGCUGAGGCUGCUAUUAGAUCCCUGUGAUUUUGGUAGCAGUCACACUGGUCCUGUGAGCUGAGCACACUGAAUAUAUUUAACUCGCUGCUUCUUCUGUGCCUGAGCAAGGGACUUGCCAUGCCCUGUGGUUGGCUGUUUAUUAGCACAGUUUAAUGGCUGGCUAUAAAUAGAAAUAAACGGAGGUGCAGACUGCGACCUGCUUGCCUA
rnacentral:lncRNA from 1 species